UACGGGGGGGGCAAGCGUUGUUCGGAAUUACUGGGCGUAAAGGGCCAGUAGGCGGCCAACUAAGUCCGACGUGAAAUCCCCAGGCUUAACCUGGGAACUGCGUCGGAUACUGGAUGGCUUGAAUUCGGGAGAGGGAUGCAGAAUUCCAGGUGUAGCGGUGAAAUGCGUAGAUAUCAGGAGGAACACCAGUGGCGAAGGCGGUGGUCUGGGCCGGAACUGACGCUGAGGAGCGAAAGCGUGGGUAGCAAACAGG
rnacentral:rRNA from 1 species